rnacentral:tRNA from 1 species
GAAAAACGAUGGUUACAUAGUGAGAUUUCUAAUCUUUUCUGUUUGCGGUUCAAUUCCGUUUGUUUUUUU